rnacentral:rRNA from 1 species
GCUACACAUGCAGUCGAGCGGAUGAAGGGAGCUUGCUCUCUGAUUCAGCGGCGGACGGGUGCGUAUUGCCUAGGAAUCUGCCUGGUAGUGGGGGACAACGUUCCGAAAGGAGCGCUAAUACCGCAUACGUCCUACGGGAGAAAGUGGGGGAUCUUCGGACCUCACGCUAUCAGAUGAGCCUAGGUCGGAUUAGCUAGUAGGUGGGGUAAUGGCUCACCUAGGCGACGAUCCGUAACUGGUCUGAGAGGAUGAUCAGUCACACUGGAACUGAGACACGGUCCAGACUCCUACGGGAGGCAGCAGUGGGGAAUAUUGGACAAUGGGCGAAAGCCUGAUCCAGCCAUGCCGCGUGUGUGAAGAAGGUCUUCGGAUUGUAAAGCACUUUAAGUUGGGAGGAAGGGCAGUAAGUUAAUACCUUGCUGUUUUGACGUUACCAACAGAAUAAGCACCGGCUAACUUCGUGCCAGCAGCCGCGGUAAUACGAAGGGUGCAAGCGUUAAUCGGAAUUACUGGGCGUAAAGCGCGCGUAGGUGGUUUGGUAAGAUGGAUGUGAAAUCCCCGGGCUCAACCUGGGAACUGCAUCCAUAACUGCCUGACUAGAGUACGGUAGAGGGUGGUGGAAUUUCCUGUGUAGCGGUGAAAUGCGUAGAUAUAGGAAGGAACACCAGUGGCGAAGGCGACCACCUGGACUGAUACUGACACUGAGGUG